UUAUGGGGGCCUCUGGACACGGCCUUCGGGGUGGGGGUCACUUGCAGCGCUCCUCGGCUGAGGGCCCAGCCCUGGCCCGCAGAGUGGGGCCAGCUCUCCCGGAGACACGGAGCCCUGGGCUGGGGCAGAAAUCGGAUCAGCUCUAACUCCGCACCCGAGGGGUCCACAGGGGCGACCGUUCACAGGGAAGCCGUGCGUGCCUCGGGGAUCCAACACUGAAGAGACCGAGGCUGGGGACCCUCUUGGAAAAUUCAAAGACAGACGCCGACACCGACGCCACUGUGCGAGACUGGGGCGUCCUGCUGUCUCCCAGGGGCUAUAACCCAAGUCAGCGUUUGGGGAACCGAAUCCGUAGGGGAUUGAGACAGUAGAGGAGACCGUGCGGCCUUGGAAAGCUAAGGCCGCAGCAGCACGCGGAGAAGUUCCCCCGACUGUCCUGGAACCCAGGAGCUUGGGAGUGGGGUCCCCGUCCCCAGGGGCUCCUCUCGAGCCACAAGCUGCGUGGCCUGGAGGAAGCAGCGCCUGGGCGCUUCCCACGCCGCUUCCCACCCUCGCCUGAGCAAGCGGCCGGCGGCUUCUCCGAGCCCUGGGCACCAGGGAAAGCCACCGUUCUGCUUUGGGGCGGUAGGUGGUGUCAACAAUACUCCUCUCGGAUUUUACGAAAAAAAUACUGCACUGGCAUUUCCCUCCCACCUUCCCCCAGACCCUUACUCUGGCCUCUCCCACCUCCUGCUCCAGCUUCUCCCGCACGUUUUUUCCCCGAGUCGCUCAGAAACGCGCGCGCUGUAAGGAGAAACUUUCCUUUGGAACCAAGGAUCUCGCCGGCCUCAAGGGAGCCCAAAGGAGAGGCUUUCUCGGCACUUGUCCAAAGAGGGUCCCGUUGCAGCUCCGCGUCCCCUAGGCUCCCUUUCGCGCAGUCCCAGGUGAGAGCGGAAAAGCCUCUUUGGGUCAACCGGGUUCCCCCGGCAGCCAACCCACGAGUUAGACUCGGGCCUCGGCCCCAGAGGACUUGCACGGCCCUCCCUAGAGGCUUGGAGAGACUCCGGGUCCCAAGAGGAGUCCCACCCGCAGGACGCACGCCUUCCCGCCGCCCCCUCUGCCCUGUGCAGCCGGGCGACCUCAGGCCCCGGCCCAGCGCCGCGGGCGCACCGCCUCUCCCGCACUGCCGCCGCGUGCACCAGACCUGAACUCUGCUCUCCACGCCUCCCCGGCCCUUUCAAGUUCGCUCAAGGGGAUGGCAGGAAGCGUUCCGGGAUCAGAGGCCCGCCUGCCCGCACAUCCUGCGCGCUGGAAGGGGUGAGGAGGGAAGAGCGCCGGUGACUUUUCCUAGCAUUGUUCCCACCCCGGCCCAGAGCAACUGCGAUAAACUUCUGAAAGGCUUAAGAGGCCCAGA